rnacentral:rRNA from 1 species
CCUACGGGAGGCAGCAGUGGGGAAUUUUGGACAAUGGGCGCAAGCCUGAUCCAGCAAUGCCGCGUGAGUGAAGAAGGCCUUCGGGUUGUAAAGCUCUUUUGUCAGGGAAGAAACGGUGCGGGCUAAUAUCCUGUGCUAAUGACGGUACCUGAAGAAUAAGCACCGGCUAACUACGUGCCAGCAGCCGCGGUAAUACGUAGGGUGCAAGCGUUAAUCGGAAUUACUGGGCGUAAAGCGUGCGCAGGCGGUUUUGUAAGUUUGUCGUGAAAGCCCCGGGCUCAACCUGGGAAUUGCGAUGAAGACUGCAAGGCUUGAAUCUGGCAGAGGGGGGUAGAAUUCCACGUGUAGCAGUGAAAUGCGUAGAGAUGUGGAGGAACACCGAUGGCGAAGGCAGCCCCCUGGGUCAAGAUUGACGCUCAUGCACGAAAGCGUGGGGAGCAAACAGGAUUAGAUACCCUGGUAGUCCACGCCCUAAACGAUGUCUACUAGUUGUCGGGUUUUAAUUAACUUGGUAACGCAGCUACGCGUGAGUAGACCGCCGUCGGGAGGUACGGUCGGUCGAGAAGUUAAACGUUAAACGUAAAGUUAGUUAGACGNGAGAGAGCGACGACGACGACGACGGAGGAGGAG